rnacentral:sRNA from 1 species
AGCAGCCGCGGUAAUUCCAGCUCCAAUAGCGUAUAUUAAAGUUGUUGCAGUUAAAAAGCUCGUAGUUGAAUUUCGGAAUCAGUACGCUGGUCGUGCCUUCGGUAUGUACUGGUGUCACUGAUUCCUCCCUUCUGAAGAACCAUCAUGCCAUUCACUUGGUGUGGUGGGGAAUCAGGACUGUUACUUUGAAAAAUUAGAGUGUUUAAAGCAGGCUCGCGCUUGAAUACAUUAGCAUGGAAUAAUGAAAUAGGACGUUAAUCCUAUUUUGUUGGUUUCUAGGAUUGACGUAAUGAUUAAUAGGGAUAGUUGGGGGCAUUAGUAUUCAAUUGUCAGAGGUGAAAUUCUUGGAUUUAUUGAAGACUAACUACUGCGAAAGCAUUUGCCAAGGAUGUUUUCAUUAAUCAAGAACGAAAGUUAGGGGAUCGAAGACGAUCAGAUACCGUCGUAGUCUUAACCAUAAACUAUGCCGACUAGG